GAGACAGGUGGUGCAUGGUUGUCGUCAGCUCGUGUCGUGAGAUGUUGGGUUAAGUCCCGCAACGAGCGCAACCCUUGUGUUUAGUUGCAAACAGGUCAAGCUGUGCACUCUAGACAGACUGCCGUGGACAACACGGAGGAAGGUGGGGAUGACGUCAAAUCAUCAUGCCCCUUAUGAUCUGGGCUACACACGUGCUACAAUGGCCGGUACAACGGGCAGCGAAGGAGCGAUCCGGAGCGAAUCCUAAAAAGCCGGUCCCAGUUCGGAUUGCAGGCUGAAACUCGCCUACAUGAAGUUGGAGUUGCUAGUAAUCGCGAAUCAGAAUGUCGCGGUGAAUGCGUUCCCGGGUCUU
rnacentral:rRNA from 1 species